UACGGAGGGUGCAAGCGUUAUCCGGAUUCACUGGGUUUAAAGGGUGCGUAGGUGGGAUGGUAAGUCAGUGGUGAAAUCUCCAAGCUUAACUUGGAAACUGCCGUUGAUACUAUCAUUCUUGAGUCUCGUGGAGGUAAGCGGAAUAUGUCAUGUAGCGGUGAAAUGCUUAGAUAUGACAUAGAACACCGAUAGCGAAGGCAGCUUGCUACACGAGUAUUGACACUGAGGCACGAAAGCGUGGGGAUCAAACAGG
rnacentral:rRNA from 1 species